rnacentral:ncRNA from 1 species
AAGUGAAUAGGGCAAACUCCACGAAAGUGGGGGACGCAAAACUCUAGAGCCUGUAAAAUGGCAGUCAGUUGCUUAA